rnacentral:piRNA from 1 species
UACCAAAAAAAAAAUGUGAAUCGGAUUUGC